GGUGUGCACUACUAUGAUUUAUUUAUUUUUUAAAUGUUUGAAUUUGAAUUGCUACUAUCUUUAUGAUGGGGUUAUAACUGGGUUUAUUGUGGCAAUGUUUUCACUCUGGUAUUAUAGGUAUACAAUAGUUUCUUUUCGUAUUUAUUUAAUUUCUGUACUCUAGCCUUUUGUUGCCAUAACUAGCAAAUCUUCAUGUUACCCAAUAUUUGUAUAGUCAGUCAUCUAGCCAUCCUGCUGGGUUUUUUUUUUUAUUGGCUAUUUGGGACUCACCUUCUCCCUGAUGCACAGCAUUGCCAACAUUGUCUAUUGUAUGAGGACGGAGAAUAUAGAGUCUGUUAUGUGCAAUGGUCAGUGGAUUAUGAAGGAUCAUAAAAUCAUGAAUCUCAAUGAGGAGGAGGUAAUUUCUUCAGCUGUGAAAAGAGCGAACGACCUCCUUGCGCGAGCUGGCAUCAAUCUCCCCAAACGGAUGAACUACAUGUAGUUUUUGCUUUGCCAAGUUCGUCAUGCAUUGCCACCACACGUCCACACCCAUUGCGGUGUUGCAGAUGAUGCACGUUGCCCAAAGGAGUGAAGGCAUGUUUACAGGACUGUUGGCGUGAUUUCAUUUUCUGUCAGUCCUGAAUUGAAAAUAAUGUGCAGUAGCAUGUAUAGUUUCUGGAAUCGGAAUAAAAGCAUCAUGAAAGUCCCGACUUAUAUCAA